AGUCUGGUGCCAGCAGCCGCGGUAAUUCCAGCUCCAAGAGCGUAUAUUCAAUUUGCUGCAGUUAAAAAGCUCGUAGUCGGAUUUCAGAAUCGUUGAUAUGGGAGGGUUAACGCAAGUUAAUCUUCUUUAUCAUGGUUCUAUCAUGUUUGAGUGACAAUCUGCUUUUCACUGGGUGGGUUGCUCGCCUUACAUCGUUGACCGUGCUUUAAUUCGCGUGUUCAAAGCAGGCUUUUAAGCCUUGAAGAGUAUAGCAUGGGAUCAUGAAAUAUGACCUUGAUUGAUGUUGGUUGACUUUGCAAUCAGGGUAAUGAUAAAUAGGGGUGGUCGGGGGUGUACGGAUUCCGUGGCGAGAGGUGAAAUUCUUGGACCCACGGAGGACGAACUAAAGCGAAAGCAUUCACCAAGGACAUACCCAUUGAUCAAGAACGAAAGAUAGGGGAUCGAAGAUGAUCAGAGACCGUUGUAGUCCUAUCCCUAAACGAUACCGACCGAGGAUCGGAGGGUGUCUAUUUGUGCGACCUCUUCGGGACUCUGUGGGAAACCAUUGAGUCUUUGGGUUCCGGGGGGAGUACGGUCGCAAGGCUGAAACUUAAAGGAAUUGACGGAAGGGCACACCAGGAGUGGAUCCUGCGGCUUAAUUCGACUCAACACGGGAAAACUCACCAGGUCCGACAUAGCAAGGAUUGACAGAUCGAUAGCUCUUUCUUGAUUUUAUGAGUGGUGGUGCAUGGCCGUUCUUAGUUGGUGGAGUGAUUUGUCUGGUUGAUUCCGAUAACGAACGAGACCUCAACUUGCUAAAUAGGAGGAAUGAUAGGGGAAAUAUGGGUGAAGGAGGGGUUGUAAAGUGGCUUCGGUUGCUUUCGAUUCUUUUGGAUCCUUUUCUUAUCAUUCUCGCCUUCUUAGAGGGACUGACUGAUUUUGAAGCAGUAGGAAGCUUGAGGCAAUAACAGGUCUGUGAUGCCCUUGGAUGUUCUGGGCUGCACGCGCGCUACACUGACUGAAGCAGAAAGUUUUAUCCUUGGCCAAUAGGUCUGGGUAAUCUUAUUAAAUUCAGUCGUGAUGGGGACAGAACCUUGAAAUUAUGGUUCUCGAACGAGGAAUUCCUAGUAAGUGCAAUUCAUCAAAUUGCGCUGAUUACGUCCCUGCCCUUUGUACACACCGCCCGUCGCUCCUACCGAUUGAACGAUCCGGUGAAGUAUUGAGAGAGUUGGAGGGCUUGCUCUCUAUGCUCAAACUUUA
rnacentral:rRNA from 1 species